rnacentral:rRNA from 1 species
UACGGGGGGGGUAAGCGUUGUUCGGAAUUACUGGGCGUAAAGCGCGCGUAGGCGGACCUGCAAGUCGGGGGUGAAAGCCCGAGGCUCAACCUCGGAACUGCCUUCGAUACUGCGGGUCUCGAGUCCGGGAGAGGUGAGUGGAAUUCCUAGUGUAGAGGUGAAAUUCGUAGAUAUUAGGAAGAACACCAGUGGCGAAGGUGGCUCACUGGCCCGGUACUGACGCUGAGGCGCGAAAGCGUGGGGAGCAAACAGG